rnacentral:rRNA from 1 species
CAGUCGCCACGGUAAUACGAAGGGUGCAAGCGUUACUCGGAAUUACUGGGCGUAAAGCGUGCGUAGGUGGUGGUUUAAGUCCGCUGUGAAAGCCCUGGGCUCAACCUGGGAAUUGCAGUGGAUACUGGGUCACUAGAGUGUGGUAGAGGAUAGUGGAAUUUCCGGUGUAGCAGUGAAAUGCGUAGAGAUCGGAAGGAACAUCUGUGGCGAAGGCGACUAUCUGGGCCAACACUGACACUGAGGCACGAAAGCGUGGGGAGCAAACAGGAUUAGAUACCCGUGUAGUCCCUGUCUCUUAUAC